GACCCUAUAGAGUUUUAUUUAUUUUAUUAAUUAUUUUUUAAGUAUUAAUAUUUUACUUAAUAAAAUAAAUUUGAUUGGGGUGAUUGAAAAAUUUAAUAAACUUUUUUUAUUUUAAACCAUAGAUUUAUGAAUAUUUGAUCCAUUAAUUAUGAUUAAAAGAUUAAAUUACCUUAGGGAUAACAGCGUAAUUUUUUUUAAGAGUUCUAAUCGAAAAAAAAGAUUGCGACCUCGAUGUUGGAUUAAAAUUAAUUUUUGGUGUAGAAGCUAAAAAUAUUAGGUCUGUUCGAGCUUUAAAUUUUUACAUGAUCUGA
rnacentral:rRNA from 1 species